rnacentral:rRNA from 1 species
CCUUGAGAGUCCUAAAGGAACGUUGAAGACGACGACGUUGAUAGGCCGGGUGUGUAAGCGCAGCGAUGCGUUGAGCUAACCGGUACUAAUGAACCGUGAGGCUUAACCUU